UACGUAGGGUGCGAGCGUUAAUCGGAAUUACUGGGCGUAAAGCGUGCGCAGGCGGUUCGUUAAGUUCGUUGUGAAAGCCCCGGGCUCAACCUGGGAAUUGCGAUGGAGACUGCAAGGCUUGAAUCUGGCAGAGGGGGGUAGAAUUCCACGUGUAGCAGGUGAAAUGCGUAGAGAUGUGGAGGAACACCGAUGGCGAAGGCAGCCCCCUGGGUCAAGAUUGACGCUCAUGCACGAAAGCGUGGGGAGCAAACAGG
rnacentral:rRNA from 1 species